rnacentral:rRNA from 1 species
UACGAAGGGGACUAGCGUUGUUCGGAAUUACUGGGCGUAAAGCGCACGUAGGCGGAUUUGUAAGUCAGGGGUGAAAUCCCGGGGCUCAACCUCGGAACUGCCUUUGAUACUGCAAAUCUCGAGUCCGGAAGAGGUGAGUGGAAUUCCUAGUGUAGAGGUGAAAUUCGUAGAUAUUAGGAAGAACACCAGUGGCGAAGGCGGCUCACUGGUCCGGUAUUGACGCUGAGGCGCGAAAGCUAGGGGAGCAAACGGG